GUGGGGAAUCUUGCGCAAUGGGCGAAAGCCUGACGCAGCCAUGCCGCGUGGAUGAUGAAGGUCUUAGGAUUGUAAAAUCCUUUCACCGGUGAAGAUAAUGACUGUAGCCGGAGAAGAAGCCCCGGCUAACUUCGUGCCAGCAGCCGCGGUAAUACGAAGGGGGCUAGCGUUGCUCGGAAUUACUGGGCGUAAAGGGAGCGUAGGCGGACAUUUAAGUCAGGGGUGAAAUCCCGAGGCUCAACCUCGGAACUGCCUUUGAUACUGGGUGUCUUGAGUGUGAGAGAGGUGAGUGGAACUCCGAGUGUAGAGGUGAAAUUCGUAGAUAUUCGGAGGAACACCAGUGGCGAAGGCGGCUCACUGGCUCGAUACUGACGCUGAGGUGCGAAAGCGUGGGGAGCAAACAGGAUUAGAAACCCCUGUAGUCC
rnacentral:rRNA from 1 species